CUCUGUGUGACCUAUUUAAAGUGAGCCUUCGUCACUUCUCGGUCUUUUCUUCUCACUCGAAGAAACAGGGAAAGUCUUCGCUAACACCUAAACCUCAGUCUCUUUAUAAUACUCAAAGCCAUGGACUUCUAUGAGGAAGAAGGAGCGUUUGUUGGACAUCUGUGUGAACCAGAUGGAGGAUGAUGGCUGUAUUUGAACAGAGCAUCUCUGUGAUGCUGCUGUAAACAGUCUGUUACAACAACACAAUUACUUGAAGCCAUGAGUCUGAGAGAGGGCUUCCAACACCUGCUCUGCCAUGUGUGAAGAUUCUCUCCAAGUUUCAGACGAACCCGUGGCAGCUGGGCUUCACACUCAAGACUAAUCUUAAAAGUUCUGCCUACUAGAUGACUGACAGUACUCGGUCCACCAACUGGAGUUGCCUGUAUGGAUUCAACUUGUCUCUGGUUGUUAAUCCUUUGACAGGAGUUUGCCUUGUAAAUAGUACAUCAAAUCAUGUAUCCACUGUGUUAAAACCUAAAAUAAAGCGGAGAGUUUCCGGUGAUGAGUCUUGAAUGUUUUAAUCAUUUUGCAACUUCUGUCUCCUGGACAAUGGAGCAAUUGCAGACAGUACAGCCACCUCUGUAGCCAAAAAUUUGCUGUAUUACUGCCAGGAUGAGUAGGACCAGAGCCAACCAAAUACUGCAGUUUAAUCUGUAAAAUUUAAAGCAGAUGAACUGAUUCUGGUACCUUGUAUUAAUCUGUACAUAUAACUUGAUGUGGAUAUUUUUGAAGAAUAUUUACAUGAACAAACUUUUGUAGAAAGUUGGAAGAAAAAGCUGAUGGUCCAGUAUUCUUUUAAAACAAAUUUAUUACAUAUAAACCAAUGUAAAACAUCUUAAAAAUGGCAUGAAAUGGGUCAUUGAGGACACCUGAAACAAGGGGAAGAAUUACAGCAAUGGGAGCAAUUGUCUAAAGUUAAAACUUAACAUAACCACCUGUGUGUGAAAUGCACAUUAGAUUUGAGUUGCCCUAAUCAAAUCAACCCUCUAGACACUCUGCUUCAAGAAAUACUUUAAAAAAAAUUAAAGAACGAGUUGUUCAUAAAUUUAACUCUUGCAUUACAGAAUACCAUGUCUAUGCCUCUGAACAGGAUGACUAAUUCAGUUCUGAAGCUUCUACUUUACCUAGAGGAUACUUCAGAUUUGAGACUAAAACCAAAGGUACAAAUGCUUCUCUGUAAAAUUCGACCCGAUCUUGACAUCCAGUGUGUUUUGAGGCCUGAU